UAUAUAUCAAGGACAAUGGACAGGAGGCAUGCGACAUGGCUACGGGAUCAGAAACAGUGUUCCAUAUGGCAUGGCUUCUAUCGUAAGACCAUCACUACGGACAUCCCUCACAUCGUUACGCAGCGAACAUGAAAAUGGUUCCAUCGCGAGCUCGCCGGAAAACUUUGGGCAGCGGGGAGGGUUUGCAAUGGACGUUUCCGACGACUGUACCUCCGACUUGGAAAGCAACAAGAGUGCCACACUUAAGCGGAAUGAGACCUCACGGAGGAGUAGGACACUCAUGGGUGGGUUUAGGAGCAAACGUAGGAAAGACAGGAACAGAGAUUCUUUGGUAGAAAGCGGGGGCAGUGUCGCUUCUCUGAGGCACAACCUUAAACAUCAAGACUCACUAAAGAGUAAUGAAAGUACUAUGAGCACAAGUUCAGUGCAAUCAUCAUGUUUUGAGAGUGAUAUGGGACACAUGCACGAAGAAGAGGCUUCUCACGACGUGACGGAGGUCUACAUGGGUGAAUGGAAACAGGACAAAAGGGCAGGGUAUGGUACAAGCCAAAGAUCAGAUGGCUACCAUUAUGCAGGGGAGUGGCAUAACAAUAAGAGACAUGGCUACGGGUCAUUGACAUACCCUAAUGGCCAGAAGGAGGAAGGAAAAUGGAAACAGAAUAUGUUAGUUGCAUCAGGAAAAAAGAAACUCUUUGUUAUUGGAUCAAAAAAGAUAAGUGACCGGGUAGGGCAUGCUGUGGAUUUGGCAGGACAGGCUGCUAAUCUUGCGAGAGCAAAGGCUGACCUGGCAAUAUCUAGGGCUGCGUAUGCAAAGGAGAAAGCUGAGAUGUCUGAUGUGGAAGCCUCAGAAGCCAGAGAGGAAUCAAUCAAAGCUAGAGCUAGGGCUAAAGAUCUUGCUUCAACAUUACCACCAAGAGGCAUGUCCAUGAUGAAUGAUUAUGCAUCAGACGGAAUGGCUACCAGGAAGAUGGGCGUCAGGAUACAGGUUCCUGGUGGUGGUGUUGGUGUUGGUGGUGAUAGUGGUGGUGGUGGUGGUGAUGGUGGUGGAGCAGGAGAAGGUGGUGACAUCAAGCUAGACAGGAAAAAGAGCUUUUUUGGUCGUCACUUAGGGGGCUUUGAUCGUAAGAACAGAAUGAGAGGAACCAUUGUGAAAUCCAGAUCUGGAAGCAGGUCAGAACGUGGUGAGGGCUCCCAUCCAUCAUCUCAAUCAAGUGACCGGUCUAUUCCAAGUGGAUUGUCCAACGAAUGGGACGGCCGUGGAGCCAGUCCACAGAGUGACAGUCAAAUGAGAGAGGCUCGGUCGACGGGAAACCUUUGUGAUGGUAGUCCAGUUCCUAGGAGACAUCUCAGAACCUUGGACAGGAUGGGCAACUCUCAGCAGAGCAACCCGUCGGACUCCAGUCCUCAAAUGGAUAGGAGGAUGUUGACUAUGAGAGAGUAUCAUCAGAGGGAGUAUCAUAGCAUGGAUGAGAGAUACGGUCCUGAUGGUAGAGAAUACCACAUGGAUAGGAACAGGCAUUACAGUGAUAGGUCCUUAGCGGAUCUUACUCCUGAUUCAGGGAUCAGUACAACAUCAGAUUCUGACCGCUUGAGGAGGGAAGCCAUGAGAUCGAAUCAGAGGAAAGGACCACCUAGGAGACAACUCACCAGACAAGAGGGCCUGGAUGAUGCGUAUCACAGUAGCCAUGGAAACAAUCGUGAUCGAUACGAUGCCCACUAUAACGACUAUGGAGAUGAAUACUACGAAGAUGAAUCGAUAUAUGACAAGGAGGAGGAGGAUCCAUACCUUGAUGAUCGCAUGGUUGAUGACGAUGAUCAAGAGAAAUUAAAGCAACAACAGUUAAAACAGAAGAAGAAGAUCAAGAUCACUGAACUAGCUACCAAGGUAGAUGCAGCCCCUCCUGGACAUUACCGGACCUUCCAAGGAAGGUUUCCAGCAACAUGUGGUAUCAAGUAUCAACCUAAGCCAGAGGGGGAAGAGGAUGAUGUAAGAGACCCAGAGCUAGAUGGAGAGGGGGCACUUGUUGUACAUUCUGCUAAAAUGAACUGGGCUGCAAGCAAAGGCCUGACCGUUCUAGUCUUGGUGCUUAACGUGGGUUUCACAGUCCUAUUCACAAGUCUCUUCUUACAGAUGGAAGAAGAAGGGAACUGGGAUAGCUGGCCCUAGUCCUGGUCUAGCUAUUGGUCCUCGAUACAUGUACAUACCGUUUCUUGCUUCAAGUUUGACCGUGACGUGACAGCAAGCAUGGCCUUAAUUUUGUUUAUGAAUUGGAAGCCGUGAUUAAGUUGCAGCAAACGUCUUUGGCCUUGAGUUGUAGUCUCAUUCACCUUGCAUGACCUGUAUAUACACAAACUCUGUUUCUAAGGGAGCACCUGACUAGUUGAUAAAGGAGAUGGGCUCCUUACUGGUUCCACAAUGGAAACAUUACUCUACUUGGAGAUAGAAUUAUAGCCUACUCUACUAGAACGUUGGAUAUAGAAGCAGGAGUCCUUAUAAUUACAAGAAAACAAUGGAUAAAGUAUCAGAGGGGGUUGGUGUUGCAUGCCGCACCUAAUAUUUACUUAAACCUGGUCUGCCAGCAAGGGCCUUAUCUUCUUAGUCCUAGUCCUGAACGUAGGCUUUACAGUCCUCUUCACUAGCCUCUUUCUACAGAUAGAAGAAGAAGGAGAAUGGGAAAACUGGCCCUGACAUUCACAAGACCCUCUUCAACGAAUGACCACCAAACUGGUCACACCACCAGUCAUCCUGAUACCCAUGAUGUUGUAAGAGAGAGAGAGAAAAAAAAAGAGGAUUGAAGAGUCUAGGCAAGAGAGAGGGAGAACUCUUCCUCAUGAUGAUAAAAAUAAGUGACAAAGCACAAGAGUGAAAAUAAUUGACGUUUGAAAUUUAGUUUAGUAAACCAAUGAAAUCAGGAAUACGAUCUCAGAUCAUGAGCUCUCUCUUCACAAAAUACAUCAGCCUUGAUUUUACAUUCAUUUAUUAAUUUCAGCCUUUUUAUUGCUAUCUAUGAAUCAUAUGAGACAUGGAGUGCAUUAUAGAAUUGCUUUUUGUAGUAGAAUAUUCAUGAAUUAUGAAGUAGGAGGAGAAACUUAACAUAUAAAAAAAUUAUAUAAGACAUUAAGAAAUAAACAGUUUGAAAGUUUGGGACAAAUAAUUGACCAGAUAUUUGACUCAGAAAUAGUUUAUGUUCCCUGAGAAAACCUGAGACUACUGCUUGAAAACGAGAGACUCUCCUUGUUUCUGAUUGGCCGGCUAAAGUUGAGAAGAUUGCUAUGACAACUUACAUUUUUUUUGUCACUUUGAUUGUGCUUUGUGGAUAAGUGGAAAGAUAAUUUAUUUGUUGCAAAGCACAAAGGGCAGGAUCAUUCCAUUUUCUCAAAAGAAAAAUUUGAAAAAAACUAUUGGCCUGACGAAAAUAGGAUUACCUAAUAAUAGUACUGUAUGUUUUUCCUAUAUAUAUAUAUGAAUAAUAUGCUAUUCUAAAUUUCUUGGCCAAAUCAUUAUUUUUUUCAGAAGGGUGAAUAGUAACUUUUAAGAACGGGGAAAAAGCAACACAUUACUUAACAUUAUAAGGCACCUUUAGCAUUCUUUGGAAUGGAUACAUGUGCAUUAAUACUGUUACUAUUAUCAUCAUUUGUAUUACUAUUGCUAUCACUAUCAUUAGAAGUAGUCUCAAAUUGAAUCUUUAUUACAUGAUCAUACAAAUUGCAGUUAUUUGUUCCUGUUAUUCAAGAUACCAAGUAGCCAUUUUAUUCCUGAAUGAUGUGACCACCCUUAAGCUGCUACAAAAAAUAGUAAGAACUAUUACUUUAAAAGACAGAUUCUACUUCAUCAGGGCCCUGUUACUAUUAUGGUAACUUUGCCAUCCUAUUGUAACUACCAUGGUAACCAUUCUAAGCAGCCAAUCAGAAUCAAGGAUUACAGGGAAGUUACCAUUGGAUGGCAAAAUUACCAUAAUAGUAACUUUUAUGCAACGGGGCCCAGAGGGAGAUAUGUUUACAUACUUUGAAAAAUUUCGAACCCCUCCCCUUAAAUACUGUCAAAUGAUAUGAUAAUAUCAUAUGCUGAUACAGAAGGGCAUACAUUGUUUGCGGGCAUGUCAGGAUCCAAUGACCGGGGUGAUAAUAUAUCUGUAAAUCUCUUAGUGAUGUCAUUUUGAUGUAUUAAGCGCUAUAUAAAAUCUAAAUAUUGUUUUUAUUAAGGGCAUUAGCAUAUGUUAGCAUUGAUAUUGAGGCCUAUAUAUGGAUUUGCAGUGUGUGAAGUAUCUUACAGACACAAUACAAUCUCAUUUUAUACUGCACUAUAGAAAUUACAAUGUUAAAAGAACAUUUCAAGUAAAAUCACUAGGGAAUUAAGAUAUAUGAAUACAAUUUCAAAUGUUGUGGGUGUGAAUAUUUUACAGUGCAAGAGGCUGGCAAAGUUAUUAUAGAACUGAUUUCUUAUCUUUGAGGUGACUUUAUAAACUGUUUCUCUUUAUUUGGAAGCUGAUUGAUGUAAAAUAUUGCCCGAUAUCUUUGCAUUUACAUAUUAUGCCGAGUUUCCUUACUGCAUAGUAAAUGCAUUCGAGCAUUAAUAGUCU